rnacentral:rRNA from 1 species
UGCCAGCAGCCGCGGUAAUACGAACCGGACGAACGUUCUUCGGAAUCACUGGGCUUAAAGAGUGCGUAGGCGGCUUGGUAGGUUGGGUGUGAAAUCCCACAGCUCAACUGUGGAACUGCGCUCAAAACCACCAAGCUUGAGGAAGGCAGAGGUAAGCGGAACUGAUGGUGGAGCGGUGAAAUGCGUUGAUAUCAUCAGGAACACCGGUGGCGAAGGCGGCUUACUGGGCCUUUUCUGACGCUGAGGCACGAAAGCUAGGGGAGCAAACAGGAUUAGAUA